AGGGAAGACUGUAGGGUAAAAUGGGAUCAUCCUAUAAUAUGAGGCUAAGCCGCUUCCAAAAUGCCAUGGGAGUUUGGAAACAUUUCGCAAACUAAACAGUCAGAAAUGAUUCAUCGAUUAAUACUGCAAAGGGGAUAGUAUAAAAGCUCUUGCCACUUGCAACCAUCUCCACUAUUCUGCUCUGCUUCUCUUGCUUGCUUGCUUCUCUUCUUCUGCUGCUACUAUGACUCAUCAUUCCAAGAUGUCAUGUGGCUGUGCACCGUCUUGUGCCCCUCAAUCUUCCUGCUCCCCGUGUAGCUAUCCAUUUGGUGGUCUGAGCUCCCUGAGUACAUGCUGCCCCACCUCCUGCGGUGGUUGUUCAAGUAGCCUUGGCAUCUCCCCCUGUGUGAAUAACGUCUCAUGUAUCACCCAACUCCCAUCAUCAAAAAUUGUGAUACAACGACCUUCUUUCGGUUUAACAAUCCCAGGCGCCAUUCUCUCGUCCUCCGGUGAACCUGUCCGUUUCGGAGGGUACACCGCCUGUGGUGGCAGUAGCAGUUGUGGAAGUCUACCUAGCUGUGGUCUCCCGGGUAUUUCUGGGUCUUGCCAACCCUCUGAGUGCAAACGGGUGUCCGUUUCCAAGGUGUGCAGUUCACCAUGUUAAGCUGGGACGUCAACAAGAAUGGGAAGGAAAUGUGAUCUGGAAAGUAUAAAAUGGAUUCACAUCUGAUGACAUCUCAGAUGUGGGUAAAUCAAACCUGUCCAAGUAAAUUGUAUCUUCUCUGCUCUCACCUCUAAAGUUUCCUCUGCAAUCUUUAUAUCAUUUGCCUUAACUUAUGUUGACCAGGAGACCAGAAGGGUGUGAACAUCUUCCCUCUGUGGGCCUUUAAGUAUUUCAGGGUCCCACAAGAAUCUUUCUCCUUAAACAGUUUGACAGCAUAUGCCAGUCUUGUCAUCCAAACUAGACGGUCAGUGGAAAAGCCCCUGUUUGCUGGGCAAAGAAUGAAUGUUUAUCAUCUAUGCAAAUGAUGUCACUCGCUGUCCUUUCUUCAUUAAAGCUUCUGCCUGCAUUAACAUUU